rnacentral:snRNA from 1 species
UUCGCUUCUUGGGCUUUUGGCUAAGAUCAAGUGUAAUAUCUGUUCUUAUCAGUUUAAUAUCUGAUAUGUCCUCAAUGAGAGGACUUCAUAUUAAACUGAUUAUUUUUUUGGGAGGUUUU